UGGUGUCGGUGGGACUCGAACCCACGCUCCCUCAAGAAAUCGAUCUUAAGCCGAUCGCCUUAACCGCUCGGCCACGACACC
rnacentral:tRNA from 1 species